rnacentral:rRNA from 1 species
UACGUAGGGUGCGAGCGUUAAUCGGAAUUACUGGGCGUAAAGCGUGCGCAGGCGGCUUUGCAAGACAGAUGUGAAAUCCCCGGGCUUAACCUGGGAACUGCAUUGGUGACUGCACGGCUAGAGUGUGUCAGAGGGGGGUAGAAUUCCACGUGUAGCAGUGAAAUGCGUAGAGAUGUGGAGGAAUACCGAUGGCGAAGGCAGCCCCCUGGGAUAACACUGACGCUCAUGCACGAAAGCGUGGGGAGCAAACAGG